UACGAAGGGUGCAAACGUUGCUCGGAAUUAUUGGGCGUAAAGCGCACGUAGGCGGCAUUGCAAGUCGGAUGUGAAAUCUUAUGGCUUAACCAUAAAAGUGCAUCCGAAACUGCAGUGCUUGAGUACUUAAGAGGAUCGCGGAAUUCCCGGUGUAGAGGUGAAAUUCGUAGAUAUCGGGAGGAACACCAGUGGCGAAGGCGGCGAUCUGGGAAGAUACUGACGCUGAGGUGCGAAAGCGUGGGAGCAAACAGGG
rnacentral:rRNA from 1 species